rnacentral:rRNA from 1 species
AAUCCCGUGAACCAUCGAGUUUUUGAACGCAAGUUGCGCCCGAAGCCUUCGGGCCGAGGGCACGUCUGCCUGGGCGUCACGCAUCGCGUCUCCCCCUCCCCCCCGCUCCCCGUGGAGCGGGGGGCGGAGAAUGGCCUCUCUUGCGUCCUCGUCGCGCGGCCGGCCC